GACGAACGCUGGCGGCGCGCUUAACACAUUCAAGUCGAACGGAAAGGCCUGCUUUCCCUUGUGGAUUGCGGGUACUCGAGUGGCGAACGGGUGAGUAACACGUGAGUGAUCUGCCCCCAACUUGGGUAUAAGCCUGGGAAACUGGGUCUAAUUCCCGAUAGGACUGCAGGGUGGUGCCUGUGGUGGAAAACGAUUUUCUAGUGGUUGGGGAUGAGCUCGCGGCCUAUCAGCUUGUUGGUGGGGUAAUGGCCUACCAAGGCGGCGACGGGUAGCCGGCCUGAGAGGGUGGACGGCCACAUUGGGACUGAGAUACGGCCCAGACUCCUACGGGAGGCAGCAGUGGGGAAUAUUGCACAAUGGGCGGAAGCCUGAUGCAGCGACGCCGCGUGGGGGAUGACGGCCUUCGGGUUGUAAACUCCUUUCGACCGCGAGGAAGCCACCUGGUUGGAAGGGUGGUGACGGUAGUGGUAGAAGAAGCACCGGCUAACUACGUG
rnacentral:rRNA from 1 species